rnacentral:lncRNA from 1 species
CUCUAUGAUGAGUUUAUUAAUAUGAUGUACCUGUAUAACAUGAUAAGACAUUCAACUUUUGUCAAAUAACGACUUAACAAUUAGUUAUCAACUGGUAGUUUAAUUAUUAGUAUUGCAAACAGUACACAUGAGUAACGUUAAAUAGUUUCAUUUCUUCCGUAUCAUCAUUUUUGUUACUUUCAUUGAGUCAGAAAAUCCCUUCUAAUGAUGCCAAACCAAGCCGUGUUCAGACUUUAUACCUUUAAACUACCAUUAACAUACUCUCCAUUAAGAUCGGAACUUCCACAACCAUAGUUAUACCACCA